CUCAAAUAACUAACCCAACCAAUUGGAAACAAUACAUGCUGCCUCCUACACCCCCACCGCAUCCUGCCUUUCCGAAACGACGGAAAACCCGAUACGCCACAUUCCAAAGGUUGCAUCUCUCAAAAAACAUAUUCCCCUGCUGUGGUCUUCUCUAUGAACCGUGUUCUCUUCAAGCAUACAACAACUGUUGCAUCUCUCACAACUCUCCCAGACCAUUUGAAGAGCCUCACAAAUGUCCUUCUUCCUCUCGACUGUGCGACAGUCAAGUGUUCCCUUGAAUUAGCCUCUCGAUUCUCCUCCGUUCUCAUCUCAAGACUGAAUUCUAGGGAAGAAAUUGCCAGUCAUCCAGCCGAUUGGUUUCGAAAUUAAAAGUUCACUUCGUUAGGAUCCACCGAUAUGUGUUAUCCUUCCACUGAGGAGACAAUUCUACUACCUUAGGGACUCCUUAAGUCUUCAGGAAUUCGCAGAUCAAUGUUUUGGAAACAAAGCUGAUUAUGGAAAAGCCAGGCAGAUGCCUAUCAAUUAUGGGUCCACUAAACACAAUUAUGUCUACAUUUCAUCAAGUUGCAUAAGGUAUACAAUGCUGUAUAUUUGGAAAUUGGCACAUGAAUAUUGUAGGGCUUUUUAUUGUCAGAAAAGGAAGGCAACAAAAAAUGUUCCUUGUCUUUCUUGCCAUGCUUGUUAGACAUAUAUAUAACUCCAUUCAUAGAUCCAUGGCCUAAACACAGUCUAUGUGCUCAAUGUAGGCAUAAGGGAGGCUCAAACCAUUCUAGAUUUUGAGAAUUGACAAUUUAUUCAUGGUAUAGGGUCGGAGUUUUCAUGAUCCAGAGAGAAUGUGGACCUCUAUUCACCCCACACUCAGACAGCAAACUCUUCCAAAUCCAGUUAGACUAAGAGCAGUGGAAGAAAAUAUGGACGGUUCUAAAUGUUGUGAUGCACGAGAUCUUAAAUGAGGUAAAAAAACAAUUAUGUGAUGUGAUUCCUAGGAGUGGUUACUAGCAUGCACACUUAGGUGUGAAUUUUGUCACAACCUUAUGCAUAGGGUAAUGCUUUCCAAACAUAAAUUAAAUUCAACGGUUUCUGUCUGGAUGAGUUGUCACAGUGUCAGUAACAUGGUCAGUUUCGUCAAAUUUCAAAUGAUAACAUUCAUUUAGAUAUGCAUAAAACUCCUUAAAAUUAGAAUAGGUUUACUCAUCUCAUUUUUUAGUUGAAG